AAGGCAGGAAAGUAUGAAUCGGUGCAAUGCUCAUCUACAAUGCAUUUCUAGCAGAAAGUGUUUAAUCUCCUGCAAUAGUACUGAUUUCUGGGGCACAUGGGCAGUUGUGACUACCUCUAAUUUUUAUGCAGUUGUUUGUCUCAACAAUCGAUCAUUUUCCUCAUAUUU